UACGAAGGGGGCUAGCGUUGCUCGGAAUUACUGGGCGUAAAGCGCACGUAGGCGGAUUGUUAAGUCGGGGGGUGAAAUCCUGGAGCUCAACUCCAGAACUGCCUUCGAUACUGGCGAUCUCGAGUUCGGGAGAGGUGAGUGGGAACUGCGAGUGUAGAGGUGAAAUUCGUAGAUAUUCGGCAAGAACACCAGUGGCGAAAGGCGACUACCUGGCCUGAUUCUUGACGCUGGAGG
rnacentral:rRNA from 1 species